UCUCACUACUGUAAAAUAUUCAGAAGAUUCAGUGUUUCCCUGUUGCCUUUAGAAUAACAGACAAAAUCCUUCAUGCUUACAGAAACCACAAUCUUCCCCGAACACCUGGAAAGCUUAAACUGGCUAGUCUCCCCAUUCCUGAGAAAGGAUGAUACAGUCCGUCUACUCUGAGUUCUGAAGAUCAAUAUACUUCUCCAUGCUCUUGUUUGAAGAGAAUUUGUCUUGGCUAGGACCCCAUCUGUAGCUCUUGAGGACAGAACUGAAAUGCUCACACUCAUGCUCUGGGCUAUGACUCUCCAUGAAGUUUGCUUCUAGAGAAGAUUUCAGUGCUGCAUUUCCUGGGAAGCCAUCACUUGCUGAACUUCUUCAUUUUGAUGUAAAGACCAUAAUACCCAGGCUAUAAAAAUGUAUAACAUAGCUUAUCUUAAAAAAAAGAAAAUGACU